GACGAACGCUGGCGGCGUGCUUAACACAUGCAAGUCGAACGGAAAGGCCCUGCUUUUGUGGGGUGCUCGAGUGGCGAACGGGUGAGUAACACGUGAGUAACCUGCCCUUUACUUUGGGAUAACUUCAGGAAACUGGGGCUAAUACCCGAUAUGAGCUCCUUCUGCAUGGUGGGGGUUGGAAAGUUUCGGCGGUUGGGGAUGGACUCGCGGCUUAUCAGCUUGUUGGUGAGGUAGUGGCUUACCAAGGCUUUGACGGGUAGCCGGCCUGAGAGGGUGACCGGCCACAAUGGGACUGAGAUACGGCCCAGACUCCUACGGGAGGCAGCAGUGGGAGAUAUUGCACAAUGGGCGGAAGCCUGAUGCAGGAACGCCGCGUGCGGGAUGACGGCCUUCGGGUUGUAACCCGCUUUAGCCUGUGACGAAGCGUGAGUGACGGUAAUGGGUAAAGAAGCACCGGCUAACUACGUG
rnacentral:rRNA from 1 species